CACAGGUCUGGUCCCAGCCUUACUAUUAGUCUACAGCAAAAUUACACAUGCAAGUAUCAGCACCCCAGUGAGAAUGCCCUCUAGUUCUUUACUAGACCAAAAGGAGCUGGCAUCAAGUACACUAACCCACAGCUAGUAGCUCACGACGCUUUGCUCAACCACACCCCCACGGGCCACAGCAGUGAUAAAAAUUAAGCAAUGGGCGAAAGCCCGACUAAGUUAUGCUGUAAUACAGGGUUGGUAAAUUUCGUGCCAGCAACCGCGGUCAUACGAUUAACCCAAACUAAUAGCCCCCCGGCGUAAAGCGUGUUCUAGAAACCCCCCCCCCAAUAAAGUUAAACUUCUACUAUGCCGUAAAAAGCUCCAGUCGAAACCAAAAUACCCCACGAAAGUGACUUUAAGAGAUCUGAAACACGAUAGCUAGGGCACAAACUGGGAUUAGAUACCCCACUAUGCCUAGCCCUAAACCAAGACAACUCAAAAACAAGGUUGUUCGCCAGAGUACUACUAGCAACAGCUUAAAACUCAAAGGACUUGGCGGUGCUCUAUAUCCCCCUAGAGGAGCCUGUUCUAUAAUCGAUAAACCCCGCUACACCUCACCACCCCUUGCCAAUACAGCCUAUAUACCGCCAUCUUCAGCAAACCCUAAUAAGGAACCACAGUGAGCACAAUAAUUCACAAAAAAACGUUAGGUCAAGGUGUAGCCCAUGGGGUGGAAAGAAAUGGGCUACAUUUUCUAAAACUAGAACACUUCACGGAAACCUCAAUGAAACACCCUUAGGUGUAAGGCGGAUUUAGCAGUAAAUUAAGAAUAGAGAGCUUAAUUGAACCAGGCCAUAGAGCACGCACACACCGCCCGUCACCCUCUUCAACUAUUCAAGCCCAUAUUAAAUACACCAUUUAACUAGCAACCGUACGAGAAGAGACAAGUCGUAACAAGGUAAACAUACUGGAAAGUGUGUUUGGAUAAU
rnacentral:ncRNA from 1 species